UACGGGGGGGGCAAGCGUUGUUCGGAAUUACUGGGCGUAAAGGGCGCGUAGGCGGUUGGAUAAGUCAGCUGUGAAAACCACGGGCUUAACUCGUGGCCUGCAGUUGAGACUGUCUGGCUUGAGUGUGGGAGAGGAGAGUGGAAUUCCUGGUGUAGCGGUGAAAUGCGUAGAUAUGCGGAGGAACACCGAUGGCGAAGGCAAUCCCCUGGGCCUGCACUGACGCUCAUGCACGAAAGCGUGGGGAGCAAACAGG
rnacentral:rRNA from 1 species